UUAUGUGUAUGUGUAUAUAAACAAAACUCUUUCCCUUUCUUUCAGCUUCUCUUCUGUCAGUUAACGCUCUGAGAGAAUGGGAGGCUUUUCCUCAAAAGCAGCUCCAGUUACACCAGAACCCAUUUACCCUACAGUCACUGUCCCUACAUCUGCCCACACCCCUACAGAUGAUUUCAGAGCUGCAGAAGUCAGAUGCUGGAUUAAUAACCAUGAAAUACUGUACAUGUCACUGGCCUUCAUCUCUGGCAUCCUCCUGACUGUCCUGGUUUUUGCAAUCAUCUUCCUCUUCAGGAAAAGUUCUAAAAGAUCCCACCAAAAUUUACAAGAGGAAACUUUCUCCCAGAUGGCAGCUGAGGAAUCUCUUAGGAACACUCAGAAUGAAGUGACCUACAGCACUCUGGUCUUCCAGCAGGGCAGGACACCACUGCCUGUGUGAUGAGGAAGUUCCAAAUGAAAUAGAAAUGAUCCCACUUUCUGGACGUCAGAAGCCCUGAGGAUGUUACACCAAGGGAAUGCCCUGGGAAUGCCCCCAUGCCCUCUGUAACACAGCUCUUUUUGUAGCUAUGGCAGGAAAUUGUCUGCUGUUCAAACUGGCUGCCAACAGCUCUGGGCAAAUGGAGAGUUUCUAUACAGGAUUUCCUCAUCUGUAGAAAUCUCCCUGCCCUUGUAAAGUUUCCGUUUGUGAGAACUACCAGAGAGAAGUGAGAAAUGAAAAUGUUUCUCUGCAUCUAUCCAUAUCUGUGCCCUCGUGUUUCCCUUUUCUGACACCAGCUCUAACUUUUCUGUAUUUUUUUUUUUUUUUUGAUUGCCAAGGGCUUUGCUUAGU
rnacentral:lncRNA from 1 species